rnacentral:rRNA from 1 species
CCCUUAGAUGUUCUGGGCCGCACGCGCGCUACACUGACGAAGUCAGCGAGCAUGUCCUACGCCGACAGGUGCGGGGAAUCUUGUCAAACUUCGUCGUGAUGGGGAUUGAUUAUUGAAAUUCUUGAUCAUCAACGAGGAAUUCCUAGUAAGCGCAAGUCAGCAGCUUGCGUUGAUUACGUCCCUGCCCUUUGUACACACCGCCCGUCGCUACUACCGAUUGAAUGGUUUAGUGAGAUCUUCGGAUUGGCGCCACUGCGUCUCAGCAAUGGGCUCGGUGGAUGCCGAAAAGUUGAUCAAACUUGAUCAUUUAGAGGAAGUAAAAGUCGUAACA